rnacentral:rRNA from 1 species
GAUGAACGCUGGCGGCGUGCCUAAUACAUGCAAGUCGAGCGAACAGACGAGGAGCUUGCUCCUCUGACGUUAGCGGCGGACGGGUGAGUAACACGUGGAUAACCUACCUAUAAGACUGGGAUAACUUCGGGAAACCGGAGCUAAUACCGGAUAAUAUAUUGAACCGCAUGGUUCAAUAGUGAAAGACGGUUUUGCUGUCACUUAUAGAUGGAUCCGCGCCGCAUUAGCUAGUUGGUAAGGUAACGGCUUACCAAGGCAACGAUGCGUAGCCGACCUGAGAGGGGGAUCGGCCACCCUGGAACUGAGACACGGUCCAGACUCCUACGGGAGGCAGCAGUAGGGAAUCUUCCGCAAUGGGCGAAAGCUUGACGGAGCAACGCCGCGUGAGUGAUGAAGGUCUUCGGAUCGUAAAACUCUGUUAUUAGGGAAGAACAAAUGUGUAAGUAACUAUGCACGUCUUGACGGUACCUAAUCAGAAAGCCACGGCUAACUACGUG